UGUAUAUGUAAAUGUAUUGAGUGAUUAAGUUGAAUCAUUCAAAUGAGUCCGAGCCCCCGGUGGGCUGGACAAAGAAUGAGCUGUAUUGUUCUUUAGUGUAUUUAAGGAGAACCCUUCAUCUGCACCAACAUGCUUCCACCGUCUCACUGAAGAAGGGUGCUAAGUGGCUAAUUUCUACUAAACAAUCGUCAUCUUUUCAACACAUCAGUGUUCUCCACUGCUGGAAAAAUGAAAAACCUCAUCUUGGUUGCUUUGGUCCUUCAGCUGGUGGUCACAAUAAUAGAGAUUAAUGGGGAGUACCAAUUUGGAGAUAUAAUUCAGUUUCCGAGAAACUGUCUCGCCCCUGGAAGAAAGCCUCCAUACAAGCACUAUGCUAUUUAUGUGGGCCCAAAGACAGUAAGAGACAUUGGCCAAGGUGAUAAUGACAUAGUUCACCGCACAGGUACGUGUAGUAAGCAGAAAAUGAAAGUAUGCUAAUUUAAAUAUAUACAUAUGAUUACAUAAUGAAGCCCUGAAGCUCCUAAUCUUUUUGCCAUAAACAGCUUCAUAAGGCUUCUUUCUUCCAACAAAUCCAUGAUGUCUGAUUUACACACUGACUAAAAAUGAUUUUCUCAUCAGACUCAGAUGGCAAACUAGAAAACCUCCUAAAUCAUUAUGUGUACAUAGAUGUGUUUGUCUGUUAGCAACUAACAGUUACAGCUGCAGGACUCCUAAUCCUCCUAAUCAGUUGUUUUGAGUUGAUGCUUCUGAAACUCUUCCUUCCUUUUCUUACAGGCAACUGUAAGGUGCACAGUUACAGUAAAUAAGAAAAGAGCAAAUUAAAUACAGGAGGAACAAGUAACAGGUUUUGUGUCAAGUUUAUGUAUAAUUUUUCUAAAAGUUUAUUCUCACGAACAGGUCCCAUAGAUAAAUCUAACUGUAGAUUUGAUAAACUUGAAAACGCAAAAGGAAAAUGGAAAGAGAGCAAGUCCAAUUACCUCGAUGGGAUUAAAGACUUCAAACAAGGAACCCCAGAAGAAAUGACUGCUCGAAUUAAAGAAGCCAUGAAAAAUUGUAAAAGAUAUGACCUCUUUACCAACAACUGUGAACACUUUGCUACCUUUAUACGCUAUGGCAAAGGGAAGUCACUGCAGGUAUGUGGCAGAUUCAACAGUAGCCCAUUUUGUUUACAGUUUCAAGGCAGUCCAUUAUUAAAAACUUGGUUUUAUUUUUUAUAUUUCCAUCCCAAGAUGAGUGUUUUGACCAUUUACAGCGCUAUAGCAUGGUCAAUUCAAACAAAGCACUAUGACCAAUGUGGCUAAUCUGGGAAGUGAAGGUGUCUGUAGUGACAGAGCAAAUGGCCUCACCCCGCAGUCAGGCUCCUAUUUGCAUCCAAAGACAUAGUAUCACACUGGUUUAUAUCUAACAUGCACAAGUGAUAGUAUGAUUUAAACACAUUGUGUUUUCCUUGUGUGUGUGAGAUAUGUUGCAUGGAUACAGAACGCACCAAAAAAAUGCAUCUGCAGCUGUUUUGGCAUGUACGCCAACAUGAAGCAGGAGGUGUUCAGAGAGUGUGAUGACGUACCUGGUCACUUAUAAACAUCUAAUGCGCAAUGUCAAAUUUAUGCAACGUUAAAGUAUGUGUAAUGUCAACAGUAGCCACAAACAGUGUGAGGUUUCUGUUGACCUAUCAGUAAUGCAAAAUUUAACUUGCAUCUAUUUUGUUUUUUUCACAGCCUGGUACAGCUGUUGAAUGUCUUUUUAAUAGAAGCUCAAAAGCUAAAAAGUUACUGGCUGAAGUAAAAGCACAUGCGAAGGAAGAGGCCAGGUGUGAAAAGAGCGGCUAACAAGUAUCUUGGCUGCCAACCAGGCUGUCAGCCUGUCUUGCUCUCCGCUGUUCUUUCCUCACGUGACAUGAGGUCCUGUUUGAAAUAAAGAUGAAUGAGCAAGAAC